CGGGCCCAAGAGUCCACAUCGACGGCCCGGUUUGGCACCUCGAUGUCGGCUCGUCGCAUCCUGGGGCUGGAGUAGGUCCCAAGGGUUGGGCUGUUCGCCCAUUAAAGCGGUACGCGAGCUGGGUUCAGAACGUCGUGAGACAGUAGACCAAUGCUGUCUGUAAAUUCGGCUAUAUGCUGGAAACUCCGAGGAUCCCGCGCUACGAGUUCCGUCCCACCAGGGCGGUACCGUGACAACGUGUCGGGUGCGGACAAUCAGCAGGAAAGGCUGGAUGGCUACAUCUCGGGCUACGUCGACGGAGAAGGAUCCUUUUCGGUCGGCGUAAACCGCAAUCCGAGCUGCCGGCUUGGUUAUCAGCUAGUGCCAGAGGUCCACGUCAGUCAGAACGACGAUCGGGCGGAGGUGCUACACCUGAUACAGGCGCGGUGGGGAGGGUGCGGCUACAUCAAGCCCAACGGAAGGAACGACCAUGCGCUCGUGCUAGUCGUCCGGAAACGGUCGGACUUGCUUGGGCGGGUGAUUCCUUUCUUCGAGAGAUCUCCGCUUCUGUCGUCGAAGCAAGAUGACUUCGAGAAGUUUGCACUGAUCGUUCGAGAGAUGGACACCGGACGCCAUCGGACCCCGGAAGGGUUUGAGGCUCUGCUGGAGAUCGCAAUCUCCAUGAACGGAGCCGGACGCUUUCGGCGAGUGCGGUGGCAAAGGCUCCUUGGCCAUCCAGAAUCCUCAGAGACUGUACGCCGAACAGCGGCAACCUAAGCCGCUGAAGAUACAGUCCGAGCUGCAUGGCGACAUGCAGAGUCAGGCAGAAAUGACCUGGCCCCCAAGGCCACUUGGGAGUAACAAAACUGUCGGUCCCUAUCUGCCGUGGGCGUUGGAGAGUUGAGAGGAUUUGUCCCUAGUACGAGAGGACCGGGAUGAACGCACCUCUGGUGUAUCUGUUGUCCUGCCAAGGGCAGUGCAGGCUAGCUACGUGCGGAUCGGAUAACCGCUGAAAGCAUCUAAGCGGGAAGCCGGCCUCGAGAUGAGCUCUCCCAUCCCCUCGAGGGAGUAAGACCCCUGGUAGACCACCAGGUUGAUAGGCCGGAUCUAGAAGGGCGGCAACGCCUGAAGGAGACCGGUACUAAUGGGUCGAGGGCUUGACGGAUUU
rnacentral:rRNA from 1 species